rnacentral:rRNA from 1 species
UACCCUGAGCGGCGGAUCAUCUCGGCUCGUGGGUCGAUGAAAGACGCAGCAAACUGCGCUCGUCGUCAUGUGAACUGCAGGACACAUGAACAUCGACACUUUGAACGCACAUUGCGGCCCUGGGAUUCUAUCCAAGGGCCACGCCUGUCUGAGGGUCG